ACGGAAGGCAGCAGUGGGGAAUAUUGCACAAUGGGCGAAAGCCUGAUGCAGCGGCGCCGCGUGAGUGAAGAAGUAUCUCGGUAUGUAAAGCUCUAUCAGCAGGGAAGAAAAUGACGGUACCUGACUAAGAAGCCCCGGCUAACUACGUGCCAGCAGCCGCGGUAAUACGUAGGGGGCAAGCGUUAUCCGGAUUUACUGGGUGUAAAGGGAGCGUAGACGGUUUGGCAAGUCUGAAGUGAAAUGCGGGGGCUCAACUCCUGAACUGCUUUGGAAACUGUCGAACUAGAGUGCAGGAGAGGUAAGUGGAAUUCCUAGUGUAGCGGUGAAAUGCGUAGAUAUUAGGAGGAACACCAGUGGCGAAGGCGGCUUACUGGACUGUAACUGACGUUGAGGCUCGAAAGCGUGGGGAGCAAACAGGAUUAGAUACCCUGGUA
rnacentral:rRNA from 1 species